UACGUAGGGCGCAAGCGUUGUCCGGAAUUAUUGGGCGUAAAGAGCUCGUAGGCGGCCAGUUGCGUCUGCUGUGAAAUCCCGGGGCUCAACCCCGGGCGUGCAGUGGAUACGGGCUGGCUAGAGGCAGGCAGGGGAGAACGGAAUUCCCGGUGUAGCGGUGAAAUGCGCAGAUAUCGGGAGGAACACCGGUGGCGAAAGCAGCGUGCUGGACCUUUUCUGACGCUGAGGCGCGAAAGCCAGGGGAGCAAACGGG
rnacentral:rRNA from 1 species